rnacentral:rRNA from 1 species
UGGCGACCGGCGCACGGGUGAGUAACGCGUAUGCAACCUGCCCGAUACCGGGGUAUAGCCCAUGGAAACGUGGAUUAACACCCCAUAGUACUUUUAUCCUGCAUGGGAUGUGAGUUAAAUGUUCAAGGUAUCGGAUGGGCAUGCGUCCUAUUAGUUAGUUGGCGGGGUAACAGCCCACCAAGACGAUGAUAGGUAGGGGUUCUGAGAGGAAGGUCCCCCACAUUGGUACUGAGACACGGACCAA